rnacentral:rRNA from 1 species
GACAGAGGGUGCAAACGUUGUUCGGAAUUACUGGGCGUAAAGCGCGUGUAGGCGGCUAAGUAAGUCGGGCGUGAAAUCCCACGGCUCAACCGUGGAAGUGCACUCGAAACUGCAUAGCUAGAGUCCCGGAGAGGCGGGUGGAAUUCCUGGUGUAGCGGUGAAAUGUGUAGAGAUCAGGAGGAACACCGGUGGCGUAGGCGGCCCGCUGGACGGAGACUGACGCUGAGGCGCGAAAGCGUGGGGAGCAAACAGG